UUCACUUUUUGGCUUUUUGGCUAAAAUCAAGUGUACUAUCUGUUCUUAUUAGUCAAGGCAAAGUUUUAUUUUGUUUUAUUUUUUUAUUUUUUUGGUUUUUUUCAAGACAGGGUUUCUCUGUGUAGCCCUGGCUGUCCCGGAACUCACUUUGUAGACCAGGCCGGCCUUGAACUCAGAAAUCUGC